rnacentral:rRNA from 1 species
UGAACGCUGGCGGCGUGCCUAAUACAUGCAAGUCGAGCGAACAGACGAGGAGCUUGCUCCUCUGACGUUAGCGGCGGACGGGUGAGUAACACGUGGAUAACCUACCUAUAAGACUGGGAUAACUUCGGGAAACCGGAGCUAAUACCGGAUAAUAUAUUGAACCGCAUGGUUCAAUAGUGAAAGACGGUUUUGCUGUCACUUAUAGAUGGAUCCGCGCCGCAUUAGCUAGUUGGUAAGGUAACGGCUUACCAAGGCAACGAUGCGUAGCCGACCUGAGAGGGUGAUCGGCCACACUGGAACUGAGACACGGUCCAGACUCCUACGGGAGGCAGCAGUAGGGAAUCUUCCGCAAUGGGCGAAAGCCUGACGGAGCAACGCCGCGUGAGUGAUGAAGGUCUUCGGAUCGUAAAACUCUGUCAUUAGGGAAGAACAAAUGUGUAAGUAACUAUGCACGUCUUGACGGUACCUAAUCAGAAAGCCACGGCUAACUACGUG